AGGAGCUUGCUCCUUUGACGUUAGCGGCGGACGGGUGAGUAACACGUGGGUAACCUACCUAUAAGACUGGGAUAACUUCGGGAAACCGGAGCUAAUACCGGAUAAUAUUUCGAACCGCAUGGUUCGAUAGUGAAAGAUGGUUUUGCUAUCACUUAUAGAUGGACCCGCGCCGUAUUAGCUAGUUGGUAAGGUAACAGCUUACCAAGGCGACGAUACGUAGCCGACCUGAGAGGGUGAUCGGCCACACUGGAACUGAGACACGGUCCAGACUCCUACGGGAGGCAGCAGUAGGGAAUCUUCCGCAAUGGGCGAAAGCCUGACGGAGCAACGCCGCGUGAGUGAUGAAGGUCUUCGGAUCGUAAAACUCUGUUAUUAGGGAAGAACAUACGUGUAAGUAACUGUGCACGUCUUGACGGUACCUAAUCAGAAAGCCACGGCUAACUACGUGCCAGCAGCCGCGGUAAUACGUAGGUGGCAAGCGUUAUCCGGAAUUAUUGGGCGUAAAGCGCGCGUAGGCGGUUUUUUAAGUCUGAUGUGAAAGCCCACGGCUCAACCGUGGAGGGUCAUUGGAAACUGGAAAACUUGAGUGCAGAAGAGGAAAGUGGAAUUCCAUGUGUAGCGGUGAAAUGCGCAGAGAUAUGGAGGAACACCAGUGGCGAAGGCGACUUUCUGGUCUGUAACUGACGCUGAUGUGCGAAAGCGUGGGGAUCAAACAGGAUUAGAUACCCUGGUAGUCCACGCCGUAAACGAUGAGUGCUAAGUGUUAGGGGGGUUCCGCCCCUUAGUGCUGCAGCUAACGCAUUAAGCACUCCGCCUGGGGAGUACGACCGCAAGGUUGAAACUCAAAGGAAUUGACGGGGACCCGCACAAGCGGUGGAGCAUGUGGUUUAAUUCGAAGCAACGCGAAGAACCUUACCAAAUCUUGACAUCCUUUGACAACUCUAGAGAUAGAGCCUUCCCCUUCGGGGGACAAAGUGACAGGUGGUGCAUGGUUGUCGUCAGCUCGUGUCGUGAGAUGUUGGGUUAAGUCCCGCAACGAGCGCAACCCUUAAGCUUAGUUGCCAUCAUUAAGUUGGGCACUCUAAGUUGACUGCCGGUGACAAACCGGAGGAAGGUGGGGAUGACGUCAAAUCAUCAUGCCCCUUAUGAUUUGGGCUACACACGUGCUACAAUGGACAAUACAAAGGGCAGCGAAACCGCGAGGUCAAGCAAAUCCCAUAAAGUUGUUCUCAGUUCGGAUUGUAGUCUGCAACUCGACUACAUGAAGCUGGAAUCGCUAGUAAUCGUAGAUCAGCAUGCUACGGUGAAUACGUUCCCGGGUCUUGUACACACCGCCCGUCACACCACGAGAGUUUGUAACACCCGAAGCCGGUGGAGUAACCAUUGGAGCUA
rnacentral:rRNA from 1 species